CGACGGUUCAUUCAAAUUUCUGCCCUAUCAACUUUCGAUGGUAAGGUAUUGGCUUACCAUGGUUUCAACGGGUAACGGGGAAUUAGGGUUCGAUUCCGGAGAGGGAGCCUGAGAAACGGCUACCACAUCCAAGGAAGGCAGCAGGCGCGCAAAUUACCCAAUCCCGACACGGGGAGGUAGUGACAAUAAAUACUGAUACAGGGCUCUUUUGGGUCUUGUAAUUGGAAUGAGUACAAUUUAAACCUCUUAACGAGGAACAAUUGGAGGGCAAGUCUGGUGCCAGCAGCCGCGGUAAUUCCAGCUCCAAUAGCGUAUAUUAAAGUUGUUGCAGUUAAAAAGCUCGUAGUUGAAACUUGGGCCUGGCUGGCGGGUCCGCCUCACCGCGUGCACUCGUCCGGCCGGGCCUUCCUUCUGAAGAACCUCAUGCCCUUCACUGGGCGUGUUGGGGAAUCAGGACUUUUACUUUGAAAAAAUUAGAGUGUUCAAAGCAGGCCUUUGCUCGAAUACGUUAGCAUGGAAUAAUAAAAUAGGACUGCGUUCCUAUUUUGUUGGUUUCUAGGAACGCCGUAAUGAUUAAUAGGGACUGUUGGGGGCAUUAGUAUUCAGUAGUCAGAGGUGAAAUUCUUGGAUUUACUGAAGACUAACUACUGCGAAAGCAUUUGCCAAAGAUGUUUUCAUUAAUCAGUGAACGAAAGUUAGGGGAUCGAAGACGAUCAGAUACCGUCGUAGUCUUAACCGUAAACAAUGCCGACUAGGGAUCGGGCGAUGUUCUUUUCUGACUCGCU
rnacentral:rRNA from 1 species